rnacentral:lncRNA from 1 species
AAAACUAUAUGUUUAAUGCAGAGUUGAUGGUUGGUUUGAUUGACAUCAGACUACUAUUGAUUGGCUCGUGGUUACGCUGUAUUCUUACACUUUCAACUUAAACCUAUUACUUAUCAUUUCUUUAUUUGAACUGAUCAGCUCGUAGCUGAAAUACAAUAUAACUACAAGAUAUGUGGAUGGAACACUAUACCAUCAGACUUGAUUUUAAGAGUAAAUCAAUUGAACCAUUUUUCAUUUUGUAUAUUAAGAUGCAAUCAGAACCGAAACAUCUAAACUCCCCCUCAGUUAAUUAACUGAAUGAGUAUUAGUUGCUUAUUAAGGUUGAGGGUUAGUGUUAAUUAUGAAUUUUUAUUUAAGGGGAGUCUAUGAUGUGUCCAAGUUCCAAAUUUUUGGUAUGGAAGUAUUCUUAUUUAGAGUGUCAAUUUCUCCUUAGGAAUAAAAAAUGAUACAAAAGUUAAGUCUGACUGAUUUCAAAGGCUCAGAUUAAACAAACAUACAUGUAGUGUUAUAGUGCAAACUUAAAAACCCUAUGUAUACAAGCAGACCGUAACUAACCAUACAAGUUAAUUUUUCUCUUCAGAACACUAAUCCAGUCACAUUCAGAAGAUGUAGGUAAGAGCAUUAAAUGAAAUACUUCUAUAAAUUUUUUAGCUAUUUUGUCCCAAAAUAACUUUUUAAAUUUUGAGCUUAUUAAGCUAUUUAAUAAACUCAUAUCCAAAGCUUUUAUUUCUAAAAUGGUUGUACUCAAGAAACUAUUUUUGAAAUAAUUAGCUUUGAUACUAUUAUUUCUGAAAUGGUCAAACUCAAGUGAUUAUUCUUGAAAUAAAUAGCUUUGAUGCUUUUAUUUCUCAAAUGUUCAAACUUAAGUGACUGUUUUUGAAAUAAAUAGCUUUGAUGCAAUUAUUGAUUUGAAAUCAACAAUAGCUUUCAUAGAAAAGAUAAUUUUCAUUUGAUGCCUGGCCUAGAGUCUACAAAAUGUGACAAGGGUAGUGUCCUGGAAAUAAGACCAACAGCCAAUCUCUGGGUAAAAAUAAAACAAACAAGCAAACAAACUGAUGACUCCAGGUUGGUUUCACCAGUUUGAAGCAUUUAGAUCACCACACAGUUCAGGUACAUAAUGAAGCUGCGUGUUUGUCAUCUUCCGCGGCUGCAACAUUCACAUUUGACGAGUGCAAGGAAGCCAAGAAGUUAGGAAUUCUUUUGGACUCCAAGGAUGUUCAAAAUAAUGGUGACGUCACUGUCACUCAGCAGGGAACGAAGAAACUGGAUAGGGCACGAGGUUGACCACCACUACUGCUGCUGCAACUGCAACACGAGUCUUCAGGACUGAGUUUACCAACGAUCGAGAAAUGGAAAUUUCUCUGAUAUCGCAAAUCUGUAAAUUUUCAUGACAUUUGCUCUGACUAAUUUGUUGAGGCCUCGCCCAGUUUACGUUAUUUUAACUUCUAAAGUUCCUGAGGAACCUUUCAACGUGUACGUCGAGGUAUCCCUUUGUUCUCCUUGUCAGCAGCAUAAGAAACAUGUAGAGAACAGUAUGGAGAAUAUGCAUACUGAUGUUAGGGUGUGAAGGGUUUAACUCUUAAUAUUUGACUUCAACUCUCCCUUCCACACAUUUCAAGAUAUUUUUUGCUGUCUUCUCGUUAGCCCUUCGUCAGAAUAUCGCUCUGACGAAGGGCUUA